rnacentral:rRNA from 1 species
ACGCAGAGUUUGAUCCUGGCUCAGGACGAACGCUGGCGACGUGCCUAAUGCAUGCAAGUCGCACGGGGGCUUCGGCCCGCCGUGGCGCACGGCUGAGGAACACGUGGGUGAUCUACCCCGGCGUGGGGGGAUACCUCGGCGAAAGCCGGGACAAUCCCGCAUACGAUCCGAUCUCAUCGGAUGAAAGCGGUAACGCGCGCCGGGCGGAGCCUGCGGCCCAUCAGGUAGUUGGCGGGGUAACGGCCCACCAAGCCGGUGACGGGUCCCUGGUCUGAGAGGACGACCAGGCAGACUGGGACUGAGACACGGCCCAGACUCCUACGGGAGGCAGCAGCAAGGAAUUUUCCCCAAUGGGCGCAAGCCUGAGGGAGCAACGCCGCGUGGAGGACGACGGCCUUCGGGUUGUAAACUCCUUUUGGGUGGGACGAUGAUGACGGUACCACCCGAAUCAGCCCCGGCUAACUCCGUGCCAGCAGCCGCGGUAAGACGGAGGGGGCAAGCGUUGUCCGGACUCACUGGGCGUAAAGCGUCCGCAGGCGGCGCGGUGCGUCGGUGCUGAAAGCGCCGGGCUUAACCCGGCGAGGCGUGCCGAUACGACCGCGCUCGAGGCAGGCAGAGGGUGGCGGAAUUCCGGGUGUAGUGGUGAAAUGCGUAGAGAUCCGGAGGAACGCCGGUGGCGCAAGCGGCCACCUGGGCCUGACCUGACGCUCAGGGACGACAGCGUGGGGAGCGAACCGGAUUAGAUACCCGGGUAGUCCACGCCGUAAACGAUGCCGGCUCGGUGCGUGGGGGUGUUACAGCCCCUGCGGGCCUUAGCUCACGCGGUAAGCCGGCCGCCUGGGGACUACGAGCGCAAGCUUAAAACUCAAAGGAAUUGACGGGGGCCCGCACAAGCAGCGGAGCGUGUGGUUUAAUUCGACGCAACGCGCAGAACCUUACCCAGGUUUGACAUGCCACUGCACGACGGUGAAAGCCGUUUCCUUCGAGGGUGUGGCACCGGUGCUGCAUGGUUGUCGUCAGCUCGUGUCGUGAGAUGUUGGGUUAAGUCCCGCAACGAGCGCAACCCUUGCCGUCAGUUACACGUGUCUGACGGGACUGCCCGCUUGAUGGCGGGAGGAAGGCGGGGAUGACGUCAAAUCCGCAUGGCCCAUACGCCUGGGGCGACACACACGCUACAAUGGUCGGCGCAGCGCGCGGCGACGGGGCAACCCGGAGCAAAUCGUGAAUGCCGGUCUCAGUGCAGAUCGGGGGCUGCAACUCGCCCCCGUGAAGACGGAGUUGCUAGUAACCGCGUAUCAGCCAUGGCGCGGUGAAUGCGUUCCCGGGCCUUGUACACACCGCCCGUCACGUCAUGGGAGUGGUCAAUGCUUGAAGUCCGCCGGCUAACGGGCAACCGAGGCAGCGGCCGAGGGCAGGGAUCGCGACUGGGACGAAGUCGUAACAAGGUAGCCGUAGCGGAAGCUGCGGCUGGAUCACCUCCUUUCUA